ensembl:lncRNA
UCUGCCAAAGGGCUCCCAGAAUCAGGAAGAUUAUCUAGUUCUGAUUUAAGGAAACUUACAUCCAGGACAACUGGCUGAUGGGUGAAGUCUCUGAUUGCGUUAGGAAAAAAAAAGAGAAGGAGCGUGCAAGUGAGAGGAGCUUCACUUUCUCAUGUGGGUGAAGUGAGAACUACGUCCCUCCUUACUUUUUGUGAAUUUAUUCAAAGUUUCCAUGGCCUGUGAAACAAGGAAAGGAUGACGUUACUAUCAACAUUUACCAGGGAUCAUUCUGAGUAACAGUUCGGAAGAAGCACAAGUUCAUGACUCAUUCUUUUUUACCCGUGAAAUAUUGUACAAGUUGAUGACUUGGUGCAGAUGAAGGCUAAUACACACCUCCACAGCACCUUGGUGUUGCAUGUCUGAGGUCCAGCAUUUGCCGUGGGAUGAGAUGAGAGCCAUGGCAUACAGAUGAGUUAAGAGGUUCUUGGUUGGCAUCUUCCCUCAAGACGUCAUUUUUUCUAGGUGCCCAGGGGUGAUGCUCUUAUACUCAAAGUGAAAUGGCUGUUGACGGUUUUUUCUCUAUGCAUCCCCUGUUCGUCAUCAGUGUGACGUCUGAGUAUGGCUGCCACCCUGCAUGAGCUCGGAGGGAUUUCAGCCUAUUUCAGUAAAGUUCUUGUCUCCUUCUCUGCACACCCCAGAAGCUGGAAAACUACAGAUCCAGCUUCCUUGGAGAAAGCAUGCAACAACAAGAAGCAGAGUGAUUGCAUACUAAGGUUCUGUAAUUUCUGCAAAUUGGCUUUACGGGUCACUAAACAGUGAUAGAAGAUUUGUGUGCUAGGACCCACCUGAAACAGAAAUGCUUUGUGGAUGCAUCUGCUUUCUGGCUUUGAGUAUCGUGGUGGAGUUGUGGCCUCCUCUUCUCUGAAGAAAAAGAAGACGACUGCAUUUGUUUACGUAUGUGCAUUCAUCACUUGUAAG